AACGAACGCUGGCGGCAUGCCUAACACAUGCAAGUCGAACGAGACCUUCGGGUCUAGUGGCGCACGGGUGCGUAACGCGUGGGAACCUGCCCUUAGGUUCGGAAUAACUCCCCGAAAGGUGUGCUAAUACCGGAUAAUGUCUUCGGACCAAAGAGUUAUCGCCUUUGGAUGGGCGCGCGUUGGAUUAGCUAGUUGGUAGGGUAAAAGCCUACCAAGGCGACGAUCCAUAGCUGGUCUGAGAGGAUGAUCAGCCGCACUGGGAGUGAGGCACGGCCCAGACUGGGAGGGGAGGGAGGAGUGGGGAAUAUUGGAGGAGGGGCGAAGGCGUGAUAGAGCAGUGCGGGGGGAGUGAUGAAGGGGUUAGGGUUGUAAAGCUCUUUUACCCGGGAUGAUAAUGACAGUACAGGGAGAAUAAGCUCCGGCUAACUCCGUG
rnacentral:rRNA from 1 species